GUUAAUUGGGCAGAUGGCAUUAUCCCCUCUCCUCGUGUGUUACAGGUGAGGAAAGUGAGAUCCAGACAGGGCAAAUGACUGUCCAUCCACAAAGCUAGUCAGAGGCAAAGCUGGCCAGGAACUUAGGUCUGUCCCAGGCCAGGGCCAUGGAAGGAAUGAUCUAAAGGAGAGGAGUCAUUGGGAUAAGGCCAGCCUCUCAUAUUCUUCAACUUUUCUCCUCUGGUCCCUGUUCUUUCCCUCCAUUCCCUGAAGUAGGCAAUGACACUGUGCUCCCCAACACCUGACACCCGUGCUGUGGCCAGCUCCUAUAUCAGCUCAAGUUUCCUGAGGAUUGAGUUGCUAACAGGGUUGGGAUGGUGGGUACGUGAGCCCCUGGGAGGAUGAAAAGGAAGCAGGAGAAGGAAGCAGAUAGUCCCUAAUACACAUAGGGAUGGGGCAGGAGGUGGAGUCAGAGGGGGCUCAGCUCUGGGCCUGUAGAAGGCAGACUCUUGGGCGCCUGGGUGGGGCACUCUGGAAUGAGCAUGGCUUUUGAAAGAGGACAGCACCAUAUGCAGGCAGGUGCUGGUGGGCAUCUCCACCUCAGACAUAGCCAGGGCCUCUUCCCCUUUAAAGGCCCUCCCCAUAUGAAGACAUUCACUGGGGAGACCUCGCUGUGCCCUGGCUGUGGGGAGCCCGUCUAUUUUGCUGAGAAGGUGAUGUCAUUAGGCAGAAAUUGGCACCGACCGUGUCUGAGGUGCCAGCGUUGCCACAAGACCCUGACUGCUGGGAGUC
rnacentral:lncRNA from 10 species